rnacentral:rRNA from 1 species
GACGAACGCUGGCGGCGUGCCUAAUACAUGCAAGUCGAACGCAGUGGGGACGGGUGAGUAACACGUGGGUAACCUCCCAUCAGAGGGGAUAACACUUGGAAACAGGUGCUAAACCGAUACUGAUGGAUGGACCCGCGGUGCAUUAGCUAGUUGGUGAGGUAACGGCCCACCAAGGCCACGGUGCAUAGCCGGCCGGAGAGGGGGAUCGGCAACCCUGGGACUUGGAAACGGCCCAAACCCCAACGGGAGGCAGCAAUAGGGAAUUUUCGGCAAUGGACGAAAGUCUUACCGAGCAACGCCGGGGGAGUGAAGAAGGUUUUCGGAUCGUAAAACUCUGUUGUUAGAGAAGCGGUAUCUAACCAGAAAGCCACGGCUAACUACGUGCCAGCAGCCGCGGUAAUUC